UUAGAAGAAUUACAGUGCCGAAGCAUUCCAAGCAGUGCACGAUAGAAUUCCCAGAGCUGAAACCUGCCGGUGAAGAUGUUCAAAUACGAUACUACGAUCUGGUAGCAUCUGAUGACAACAAAUCUUAUCGAGUAUUGAUAAGUUGCGACGAUGGAUGCUUUGAUUCAAAAGGACUUCUCACAGCCUUAUUACGUGUCGGCAUCGAGCGUGGCCGGCACAAUUAUCGGAUGGAACGAGCCGGAUACGGUCGUCUGUGACAGCACUUUCACUGUCGGCGCUCAGUGCUGUGGUUUGUGCACGUUUAUCCAAUUCACGCCCAACAACGAUGACCCCGAUCCCGACCAAUUCUCCAUGAACAUGAUUGAAACUGCGUUCAACGAGUGCUAUGGUGGAUACGAUACAACAACCAGCACGGUUUAUCCUGCGUAUCAAGAGCGAGACAAAAGUGUGUACAGAGUGUUCCGCUCUCAAAAUUACAAUAAGUGGCUGACUUCCACAGACGUAUACGACAAAAAACUUGAUCGAUACCCCCAAGUACAGAACAGCACCGUUGAAAUAUUCCUUCGGAGUGAUUAUGGCUGAUAUUGACGUCUGGUGCUCGUUUUCUGCAACAACUUUAACAACCUUACCUACAAGGGAGCUCCUAACGUUCUUGUACUCUCCAAGUCGCCAAAUUUGUCGAGGGACGUGAGGAACAGAAUCUACAAAACCCUCGUCGAUAACAGAAUCGAUCCGAACAGCUUGAGCUUCAGGAACAACUACAAUUGCCCAGACAUCGACUCCUAUGGUCCAAACUGGUAUCAAAAUCUCAACUCCAAGCGGACCCAACCACUGUUACGACCUAAUGCCAUUAAGUAUUAAAUUAAACGUUCCAGGUCACAUUAACUUUUACUCACAUGUAUUUUACAAAUCAACCGUCUAUUUCUGUGUAGAGGCGAACUAUCUUCAAGAAUUAUGUCAUGUGUUAUUAAAAAAUAAUACUGCGAUCUCGUCAAUUUUAGUUCUUUAUACUCCUGUAGAGAGCCUUUAUCCAGGAUCGAGGCCUGUUCGCUCACGGCUGAUGCGCCCCCAAUAUUCGAGUUAUGCAACGUGUGCUUCUCCGCGUUUCAAUCGUGGUAUCAAGGUCCUAACCCAAAAUUCUGCUGUUCUAAAGUAUGAUGAGCAGAAUGCAUGAUAACUCUAAAUCUCAUCAUACUUGUAGUUAAGGGCCAAAGAACCGGUGCGGUACAUAAUACAUGUUUACCGAUUGAGAGAUCAGCGGGUCGAUUGUUGAAUCGUUAUCGAAUGAAAUCGAUCGAUAACUC
rnacentral:lncRNA from 1 species